rnacentral:rRNA from 1 species
CCUACGGGAGGCAGCAGUGAGGAAUAUUGGUCAAUGGUCGGGAGACUGAACCAGCCAAGCCGCGUGAGGGAUGAAGGUACUGUGUAUCGUAAACCUCUUUUGUCAGGGAACAAAGGCGGGGACGUGUCCCCGGAUGAGUGUACCUGAUGAAAAAGCAUCGGCUAACUCCGUGCCAGCAGCCGCGGUAAUACGGAGGAUGCGAGCGUUAUCCGGAUUUAUUGGGUUUAAAGGGUGCGCAGGCGGUCUGUUAAGUCAGCGGUGAAAGGUUGGGGCUCAACCCCGACACCGCCGUUGAAACGGGCAGACUCGAGUGGGUGAGAGGUAGGCGGAAUGCGCGGUGUAGCGGUGAAAUGCAUAGAUAUCGCGCAGAACUCCGAUUGCGAAGGCAGCAUGC